GUGUUUAAAAACUCCGAAACA
rnacentral:tRNA from 1 species